rnacentral:misc_RNA from 1 species
AAGUCGUAACAAGGUUUCCGUAGGUGAACCUGCGGAAGGAUCAUUAAUACGCUUUUGUUUGUAACAAAACAAAACGUUUUAAACCCCCAAAAUUGAAAUAGUGGAAAUAUAACUUCCGGAUGCGAAUGUUGGGGAACUGAGUUAAAUCGGUUCUUUGAAAAAGGGACUUCAAGCACUUGACACUUCAGAGUAGAGCAGUGAGGUGAAACUCGAAAGAGUUUGGUUCUGAAAAACAUUUGUAUCCGGUUAUCAAAUCUGUUCUACCAAAUUAUCAAACAAUAAACCCCAUGUACAACAACUUGAACUAAACAUUUUUUUGUUGUCUGCUUUGCGGCAGAUGUGCAAAGAAAAAACCUGAACUUAAGAACAACUCUUAACAACGGAUAUCUUGGUUCUC